rnacentral:lncRNA from 1 species
UUCUCACGUAUUGUGUCAUUAAAAAUCAACGUCCCAUCCUCUUGGCUUAGGGAGCCUCCAUGAGCGUAGUACCAAUUUUUUGAUCGUUCGGGCCAUUCAAUAGUUGCAGGUACGAUUCCCCAUUCGAUCAGAUCUUGUUCCAUCUUCCUCCACUUGGGAAUUGCUGAGCCAUACCCACCUCGCCACAAAUGAUGGUGGUAGCCCUUCUGACUAGCAUUUGCUGUGUUGGUCGUGAUCUUUUUCACACCGUCUUCACUCCUCUUAUAUUCAACAAAUGCAUCCCAGUGGUCCCUCAACUUUGGCAACGUGUUGAAGUUUGGAGUUCGGCCCUUCUUAAUCUAGUGGGUAUCCAGCAUCUUCUUGAAUGUCUGGAAUUGAGUAGCCAUCUUCUUAAGCGUCCACGCUUUGACAUCCUUCUCACUAUAUCCUUCGGGGAAUGUGAAAUGUCUCUUCACGUCUUCCCACAGCAUAUUCUUUUCUGUCUCCGGGAGGGCGUACGGAUUAGUGCUUCUGCCCUUCCAUUCUCUGAUGCUGAUAGGCACGUUGUCCCGGACGAUUGCCCUGAUCUGACUCACGUACUUCUUUGCUACUUUCUCGGGAGCAACCAGCCUGCCCUCUUCUGUCACUUCCAUGAUGACAAGCCUCCCUUCCAUCACCUUUGUACGACCUCGGGUCUUCUGCCCUUGUGUCGAUCCGGAGGGCUAACAGUUCAAGAUUCGUUAAUUAGUACGUAGUAGUAACGGUGGUGUGAAACAAUACAAGAAUGGUUAUAUAUACCUCGCCGGAACCUUCCGCCACGGCAAGUUGUUGCUGCGGCUGUUCCUCUUCAUUCCCAUCGGCGGACAUGUUGAGGAACAUGUCCGCCUGGGUGCUCUCUUCAUGCGUGUAUGAUAGUGGAACGUUGUCGCCACUACCAUCACCAGCGAUUAUCUGCUCCAUGAUAUACCUUGCGGUCUCAUCGUCUGCCAUUUCAACUAUUGAUUGAAACAUACAUGGAAUCAUACAUGACAGUCAUAGAAAUCGUCUUACUACAAAUUUCUACAAAGUCCUACAAAGUCCGGAAUCAUACAUGUAUAUAAUGAAAUCAUAAAAUAACAUGAAUCCUACAAAGUCCGGAAUAUUUAUACAAAUUUCUACGAAUUUCUAGCAAUAACCACAUGCGGUGCCUAGGUUGUGACGGCGGCGGUCAGGGCGGCGGAGGCGGGGACGGUUCCCUGGAACCACGGGUGGUGCCUAGGUUGUGAUGGCGGCGGUCAGGGCGGCAGUACGGCGGAGGCGGGGACGGAUCCCCGGAACCACGGGCGGUGCCUACUAGGUUGUGACGGCGGCGGUCACGGCGGCGGGACGGCGGAGGGGACACAUAUACAAAAAUCUAACUUAAAAAAAAUCUAACUUAAAAAAAAUCUAACUUAAAAAUCUAACUUAAAAAUAUAACUUAAAAAUCUAACUUAACAAUCUAACUAAAAAAUCUAACUUAAAAAUAUAACUUAAUUUUCUAACUUAACAAUCAUACUUAAAAAUCUAUCAUAAAAAUAUAACUUAAUUUUCUAACUUAAAAAAAAAGGCCCUCCCGGCGCUGCCGGCUGGCGCAGCGGCGGACCUCUCGCGCGCGGUCGUCGACG